UUGUAAAUGUCGGCGAGCGGCGGACGGCUGAGUAACGCGUGGGAACGUACCCAAAGUGAGGGAUAACGCAUCGAAAGGUGUGCUAAUACCGCAUAUGGUCUUCGGAUUAAAGCCUUCGGGCGCUUUGGGAACGGCCUGCGUAAGAUUAGAUAGUUGGUGGGGUAAUGGCCUACCAAGUCGACGAUCUUUAACUGGUUUGAGAGGAUGAUCAGUCAGACUGGAACUGAGACACGGUCCAG
rnacentral:rRNA from 1 species